rnacentral:rRNA from 1 species
GAUUAACGCUGGCGGCAUGCCUAAUACAUGCAAAUCGAACGAAGCCUUUUGGCUUAGUGGCGAACGGGUGAGUAACACGUAGGUAACCUACCUCAGAGUUUGGAAUAACAGUUGGAAACGAUUGCUAAUACCAAAUAACUUACGAGAAGACAUCUUCUUGUUAUAAAAGAUCCUCAUGGGAUCGCUUUGAGAGGGGCCUGCGGCGCAUUAGUUAGUUGGUGAGGUAACGGCUCACCAAGACAAUGAUGCGUAGCCGGACUGAGAGGUUGAACGGCCACACUGGGACUGAGACACGGCCCAG